UACGUAGGGUGCAAGCGUUAAUCGGAAUUGCUGGGCGUAAAGCGUGCGCAGGCGGUUGUGUAAGACAGAUGUGAAAUCCCCGGGCUCAACCUGGGAACUGCAUUUGUGACUGCACAGCUGGAGUGCGGCAGAGGGGGAUGGAAUUCCGCGUGUAGCAGUGAAAUGCGUAGAUAUGCGGAGGAACACCGAUGGCGAAGGCAGCCCCCUGGGUCAAGAUUGACGCUCAUGCACGAAAAGCGUGGGGAGCAAACAGG
rnacentral:rRNA from 1 species